ACAGCUGCUAAUACCGGAUACGAGACGAAGAGGCAUCUCUAUCGUCUGGAAAGUUUUCGGUCUGGGAUGGACUCGCGGCCUAUCAGCUUGUUGGUGAGGUAACGGCUCACCAAGGCGACGACGGGUAGCCGGCCUGAGAGGGCGACCGGCCACACUGGGACUGAGACACGGCCCAGACUCCUACGGGAGGCAGCAGUGGGGAAUAUUGCACAAUGGGCGAAAGCCUGAUGCAGCGACGCCGCGUGAGGGAUGACGGCCUUCGGGUUGUAAACCUCUUUCAGCAGGGAAGAAGCGAAAGUGACGGUACCUGCAGAAGAAGCACCGGCUAACUACGUGC
rnacentral:rRNA from 1 species